rnacentral:rRNA from 1 species
CCCUCUGUCCCUAUCUACUAUCUAGCGAAACCACUGCCGAGGGAACGGGCUUGGAAAAAUCAGCGGGGAAAGAAGACCCUGUUGAGCUUGACUCUAGUCUGGCACUGUAAGGAGACAUGAGAGGUGUAGCAUAAGUGGGAGACGGUAUCCAUCCCGUCGCCGGUGAAAUACCACUACUUUCAUCGUUUCUUUACUUACUUGGUUAGGCGGAGGGCGUUCGUCGAGGGUUAAAUACCCCGGCGGUACGGUCUUCUCGCGCCAAGCGUUCAAGGGUUGCCGGCGGACAGAAGUGCGGGUCGGCGUCGGUGAGUCGUGUAACCCAGCUUGCUGGGCCACGGCCCGGCGUCGGCUUUAGCACGCUCUGAACCCGACCGGCAAACACUCCCUAGCGUGAUCCGAUCCGAGGACACUGCCAGGCGGGGAGUUUGACUGGGGCGGUACAUCUGUCAAAGAAUAACGCAGGUGUCCUAAGGCCAGCUCAGCGAGGACAGAAACCUCGCGUAGAGCAAAAGGGCAAAUGCUGGCUUGAUCCCGAUGUUCAGUACGCAUAGGGACUGCGAAAGCACGGCCUAUCGAUCCUUUUGGCUUGAAGAGUUUUCAGCAAGAGGUGUCAGAAAAGUUACCACAGGGAUAA